rnacentral:rRNA from 1 species
UACGGAGGAUGCAAGCGUUAUCCGGAUUUAUUGGGUUUAAAGGGUGCGCAGGUUGUUUGAUAAGUCAGUGGUGAAAGUCUGUCGCUUAACGGUAGGAUUGCCAUUGAUACUGUUAGACUUGAAUAUGGAUGAGGUAGGCGGAAUGUGUAAUGUAGCGGUGAAAUGCAUAGAUAUUACACAGAACACCGAUUGCGAAGGCAGCUUACUAAUCCAUCAUUGACGCUGAGGCACGAAAGCGUGGGGAUCAAACA